rnacentral:rRNA from 1 species
ACGAACGCUGGCGGCGUGCCUAAUACAUGCAAGUCGAACGGCUUUUCUAUGGAAGCUUGCUUCCACUGAGAAGAUAGUGGCGAACGGGUGAGUAACACGUGGGUAACCUGCCCAUAAGAGGGGGGAUAACAUCCGGAAACGGGUGCUAAUACCGCAUAGUUUUCUUGAUUGCAUGAUUGAGAAAGGAAAGACGGCCUUUGUGCUGUCGCUUAUGGAUGGACCCGCGGCGUAUUAGUUAGUUGGUGAGGUAACGGCUCACCAAGACGAUGAUACGUAGCCGACCUGAGAGGGUGAUCGGCCACAUUGGGACUGAGACACGGCCCAAACUCCUACGGGAGGCAGCAGUAGGGAAUCUUCCGCAAUGGACGAAAGUCUGACGGAGCAACGCCGCGUGAGUGAAGAAAGGUUUUCGGAUCGUAAAACUCUGUUGUCAGAGAAGAACAAGUUGGAGAGUAACUGCUCCAGCCUUGACGGUAUCUGACCAGAAAGCCACGGCUAACUACGUGCCAGCCGCAGC